rnacentral:rRNA from 1 species
CUCUUCUUGCGCAGCUUAGGUGGAAGGCUGAGAAAGGCAAUUCCGGUUGUCUGGAGCCAUCAGUGAGAUACCACUCUGGGAGAGCUAGGAGCCUAAUGGCGUUCCUUGAAUCAGGACGCUUGACAGUUUCAGGUGGGCAGUUUUACUGGGGCGGUAGCCUCCUAAAAGGUAACGGAGGCGUGCAAAGGUUCCCUCAGGCUGGACGGAAAUCAGCCAUAGAGUGUAAAGGCAGAAGGGAGCUUGACUGCAAGACCUACAAGUCGAGCAGGGACGAAAGUCGGCCUUAGUGAUCCGACGGUGCCGUGUGGAAGGGCCGUCGCUCAACGGAUAAAAGUUACUCUAGGGAUAACA